rnacentral:rRNA from 1 species
CCUAACACAUGCAAGUCGAACGGUAGAGUAGCAAUACUUGAGAGUGGCGAACGGGUGAGUAAUAUAUCGGAACGUGCCCAGUCGUGGGGGAUAACGUAGAGAAAUUUACGCUAAUACCGCAUACGAUCUAAGGAUGAAAGCGGGGGACCGUAAGGCCUCGCGCGAUUGGAGCGGCUGAUAUCAGAUUAGGUUGUUGGUGAGGUAAAAGCUCACCAAGCCGACGAUCUGUAGCUGGUUUGAGAGAACGACCAGCCACACUGGGACUGAGACACGGCCCAGACUCCUACGGGAGGCAGCAGUGGGGAAUUUUGGAC